AAGACCAUAUGCCAUUGAACCGAUUUCACUCUUGCCUUAAUCUCGUCCCUAGAAAUGUGAAAUCUGAAAAUGAAAUGUCUUUCUUCAUUUGUUGACUGAAAAUAAGUGGUUGGCAGAUGCUAUCCGCACUCACAAACAAUUGGCUAAUUUAAAUAUUCACAUCUUGUCUACUCUUACAUCAUAAAGUAUACAUCUCCUACAAACCCAUUGCUGUUUCCCCUUCAUCCUUACCAAAGACACUCCUCAUUUUCCAUCCCCUUUACCAUCCCCAACCGAGCCCGCCACGGCCACAGUUGAGUCUAUGCCACUGUAACUGCCAUCCCCCAUGGGACGGCGGUAACGCGUCGGAUUUUCUGCAUUUAUUAUCAUUUAUAUGUGCAGGCGGAGAUCAAAACUAAAGGUCACGAUUAAGCCGGAGCGCCACAAUUUUGAACCCCAGCUCGAAAGAGGUGGGGUGGGCUGCGUGGGGCUUGACUUUGUUGGCCUAACAUCUGAUUUUUAUUCCGUUCGGAUUUCCUCUUGAUGGAGAAGAAUUUGCUCUCUCUAAAAUAUAUAAAUAAGAUCAG
rnacentral:sRNA from 1 species